rnacentral:rRNA from 1 species
GAUGAACGCUGACAGAAUGCUUAACACAUGCAAGUCGAUGGGGAAGUGGUGCUUGCACCAUGGUAACCAUGGCGGACGGGUGAGUAACACGUAAGGAACUUACCUGCGGGACCGGGAUAACAGCAGGAAACUGCUGACAAGACCGGAUAAGGUCAUUAAGCUGCAUAGCUUAGUGAUGAAAGGAGACGCCUGCGGAGAGCCUUGCGUCCUAUUAGCUAGUUGGAGGGGUAACGGCCCACCAAGGCGAAGAUAGGUAGCCGGCCUGAGAGGGUGGACGGCCACAAGGGGACUGAGAUACGGCCCUUACUCCUACGGGAGGCAGCAGUGGGGAAUAUUGGACAAUGGGGGCAACCGUGAUCCAGCAAUUCUGUGUGCACGAAGACGGUUUUCGGAUUGUAAAGUGCUUUCAGCAGGGAAGAAGGAAGUGACGGUACCUGCAGAAGAAGCGACGGCUAAAUACGUG